rnacentral:rRNA from 1 species
UACGUAGGGAGCAAGCGUUGUUCGGAUUUACUGGGCGUAAAGGGCGCGUAGGCGGCCUGUCAAGUCAACUGUGAAAUCUCCGGGCUUAACUCGGAACGGUCAGUUGAUACUGUCAGGCUAGAGUGCAGAAAGGGCAAUCGGAAUUCUUGGUGUAGCGGUGAAAUGCGUAGAUAUCAAGAGGAACACCUGAGGCGAAGGCGGGUUGCUAGGCUGACACUGACGCUGAGGCGCGAAAGCCAGGGGAGCAAACGGG